GCUGAUGAAACCAACAAAAACAUAGAAGAAGAGAGAGUUAGCCCCCAGUGUGUGAUUGUAAAAAUUGUCGAAGAGGAUUCGGUUGUUUUGGUUAAAACGGACUUUUUUUAAAUGACUAAUUAACCUCAUGCGUUGCACUGGUAAGGAAUUCUCGAAAGAAUUAUUCUCCUUUUCUUUCGUUAACUUUUUUUAUUCAAAUCCUCGGACUACUUCGUGGCAAACUUAACUUGUCUUAAGAAAGGCUCCGUGGCCUCGCGGGUCAGUCACCAUGAGUUACGGUCGGCCUCCGCCAGACAUCGAUGGCAUGACUUCUCUCAAGGUGGAUAAUUUAACAUACCGAACUUCGCCUGAAACCCUCAGACGAGUCUUCGAGAAGUAUGGCCGGGUGGGGGACGUGUACAUACCUCGGGACCGCUACUCAAAAGAAAGCCGGGGAUUUGCGUUUGUUCGGUUUCACGACAAACGUGACGCCGAAGAUGCGAUGGAUGCCAUGGACGGCGCGCUGCUGGACGGACGGGAGUUACGGGUCCAGAUGGCCAGAUACGGAAGACCCCCUGAUUCCCAUCAUGGCGGAGGAAGGAGAGGAGGAUCCACCCGGAGGUCCAGUGGCCAUGGACGACGAAGCAGAAGCCGUUCUUCCAGCCCAAGACACAAAAGACGCAGCAGGUCCCGCAGCCGGAGCCACUCUCGAAGUCGGUCCAGAUUCAGCAGAUCCAGGUCCAGGUCAUACUCCAGAUCUAAAUCCCACUCCCCCAGGAACAAGAAGACCAAGACUCGUUCUCCAUCCAGAUCUAGAUCCAGGUCCCACUCCAAAUCCAGGUCCAGAAGUCAAACACCUUCCUCUAAAAGAGGGUCCAGGUCUAGGUCUAAAAGCCAGCCCAAGUCAUCGGCAGAAAAUGGAGGAGAAUCCCCGUAGAGCUCUGCAGCUUUGUGACAGUUCGGGAUGAAGACAUCAGAACCCCCAGAGUGGAUCUCAUGCAAACAGCGGCGACCAGUUUCAAAAGACGCAGUUGUGUAGCAGUUGAGUUUUGCUGGUUAGCUGUUAAGGUGGCGUGUUGGGUGCUUGGAUGUAUCCAGUAUUCUCCAGAAUGCUCCUGUGACCACACUGACUGACCCGAGUUAGCAUACAUCUACAGCCAUGGGCUCCUCUAUUGAACUGAGCCAAGACCUGAAAAUGAAGCUUAUUGAAGCAUACAAGGAUGGGAAAGGUUAUAAGAAGAUAUCAAAGCGUUUUGGAUUCUCAAUUUCCACCAUACGGAACAUCAUCAGGAAGUGGAAGUCAACAGGAACUGUGGAAGUGAAGACAAGAUCGGGUAGACCAAAAAAAAUCUCAGAGCAAACAGCACAUCUGCUGGGCAGAACGGCAACAGAGAACCCCCACAUGACUGCCAAGGACCUGCAGGAAGGAUUAGCUGAUGCUGGAGUGCUGGUGCACACGUCCACUGUGCAGCGAUGUUUGAACAAACAGGGACUACGUGGCAGAGUCAGAAGGAAUGCUCAGAAGGAGGCUGCACCAGAAAAGACUGCAUCUGAAGCUGGGAAAGAAAAGUCUGAAUAAGUCUGUCACUAUGACAACAAGAGCUGAUGGACAGAAUGUAUGAAGACACAAAGCUGGGUGUUUCACCUGGGUGAACUGCAGAGACCACAGUCUGAAGUAAAACCAACUCGGCUGCAAGCGAAGGACUUAGAGACAACACGACAAUCUGCCUUUUAGUUUUAUGUCUCCGUCUGCAAAUGUAAGAUUUCAUCUGUGGAAACAGACGAUUUUCACUUGUGUUAAACUAAAGAUCAUCCUCAUCAUGUACAGCAGCCGUUUUAGACACUUACCGCCUCUUUUUAGUUUACUGAAAUCCAAAGGGGUGAUAUGAAGCAAAAUCUGUGUGGUCACAGAGGAGUUUCACCUCUUACAGGGUUUGCAGCUAAAACAACCUGUGUGGGUGUAAUUGCACAUGUGAAAGUAGCUUCUUUAGGCCAGUCAGUUCUCUUUGUAACUAUAUAUGUAUAUAUAUAUACCAGCUCAGUGUUUUAGACAUUGUCUAAACACUAUAACUUUGUGACCUUAAAGCUAGGAAACCACACUUCACAACUUUUGCUUCCAUCCCAAAGCAUCACUGUACAGCAGCAUUUACACUUUAAAGCAAAUUAGUCCCAAAGUUUCUCAGAAGUUGAAGUAAUGUGCAAAGAAAAGUGUCUGAAGUGUGAUAAAUUGAUACUAAAGCAGAUCUUUUAUUUAAUAACCUGUGAUGAUCUACCUGAAGUUCAUAAAGCAUGAGAGAGGAAUCUGUAAACGACUGCUGCUGUUAAAUGUUGAUCAAUGCUGGACUGAGCUUGAAUGUUCAUUCUUCUCAAUUCUCAGUACUGCUGGUUAGAUGUUAAAUGUUGUAUUUUUCUGUAUGAAUCCAGUCCCUUUCAGGACUGUAGAACUGAGUUCACCUACAGUCUGAGUGAUGAGAUGCAGAUAUCUAUCGUAUUUUCUGUGUUAAAGUUGUGAAAUCA